GAUGAACGCUGGCGGCGUGCCUAAUACAUGCAAGUCGAGCGAACAGACGAGGAGCUUGCUCCUCUGACGUUAGCGGCGGACGGGUGAGUAACACGUGGAUAACCUACCUAUAAGACUGGGAUAACUUCGGGAAACCGGAGCUAAUCCCGGAUAAUAUAUUGAACCGCAUGGUUCAAUAGUGAAAGACGGUUUUGCUGUCACUUAUAGAUGGUUCCGCGCCGCAUUAGCUAGUUGGUAAGGUAACGGCUUACCAAGGCAACGAUGCGUAGCCGACCUGAGAGGGUGAUCGGCCACACGGGAGCUGAGACACGGUCCAGACUCCUACGGGAGGCAGCAGUAGGGAAUCGUCCGCAAUGGGCGAGAGCUUGACGGAGCAACGCCGCGUGAGUGAUGAAGGUCUUGGGAUCGUAAAACUCUGUUAUUGGGGAAGAACAAAUGUGUAAGUAACUAUGCACGUCUUGACGGUACCUAAUCAGAAAGCCACGGCUAACUACGUG
rnacentral:rRNA from 1 species